GUGCCAGCGCCGGCAGCUUCCUGGGACUGGGACGAGGACUCAAGAAAGGGUGGGGGUCGGCAUAGCACUGGCUUCCAGCUCUCCUAGCCUGAGAAUCCCGGGGCCACUCUUGAUCUUGACUCCAUGCCCAGGAGCCAGCGCCCUCCUCCAGACCUGCCUUUUCCAGUAGGCUCCAGCUCUGUCAAGUGGCUCCGCAAGGAGGUUAAAUAACCAACCAGGAUCAGCUGGCCUUCCCAGGAAGGUAGCUGAAGGCUUGGGCUCCGUCAGAGGAAUGGAGUCUAACAGCUUCCUCAUCUUUGCGCACACCCAAGCCGAGGACUUCAGUAUCGUCAACUCCUUCUGCUUUUGAUUUCAUGCCCCCAGCACUGCGCAGCCAUCAGAUCCCAUCAACUGUCUGUGGAAGUACCUCUCAGAGCCAUCUAGUCACUUUAACGAUGAUUAACCCACCCAAUGACAGGGCUCUAGGCAACUCUCUCAGUUGCUGCUGAGUGUAAUCUAGAACAACUUUUCUGGAGGGAAAUUUGGAAAUGUAUUUCAAUAAUCUUUAAAAUAGUUCUAUUGAUGCUUUUGACUCAGCAGUUGCACCCUAUGAAUAAGGGGGGGGGUGGGUAAAAGAUAAGAACAAAGACAUUUUUUAGAGAGCAAGAACAUGUACAACAAUGACAGAUUUUUAAAUAAUAUUUAA